UGGACAGACACCAUGGUCUCCUCCUACCACGGCAUGGCAACAGCUUUGUAACUCCUUGGAGUCUUUAGUAAUUGGGUCACCAGAUUGGCUAUCACAGAUGACUGAGCUUGGUCUUUCUGUCCCCCAGACACACACAUCACAUACCUCACGUCUACCGCCCCCUCCCUCAGCGAGGACCAUCGAGCACAUGAGUUCCACUUGGACGGAAAAGCAACGCUAGCAUUGCAGCGCCGUGGGUUCAUGGCACAGCCCUGAGGCUGAUUAUGGUUGCUUUGAACAGGAGGCUGCCACCCCAGCGACAAAGUGACGCCCACGUCUUAACAGGAACGAGCAAAAUGAAGUUCUCUGCUGUUCACAUCAAGGCCAGUGUCAUCGGUGCUGCAUGCAGAUGGAUGCACCUUUCAAAUAGAGGCUCCAGGGGCGAUUCAAGACGUGCUAAUGUCUCUGUGAGGACGGAUGGCUCCCCUCACCCGGUCGCGGCUGAUAUUGAUAACUUGAAGGCAGCGGAGUUCCAGGCACCAGUUGCUGUAUCAGGCAAUCCACAACACACAGGAAGCACCCACAUACCUGUGCAAGAUUGAUUCCAGUACCUGGCAAGUGGAUGUUAAGCUGUGAGUGGAGAGGUUUGCAUUAUUUUGAAGUGUAAUCAGCUAGUGAGU
rnacentral:lncRNA from 1 species